AAAUAAAAUUUAUAUAUCGAGAAGGAAAGAAAGAAAGAAAAAGUAAAGUAGCCGCCUCAUCUUCAUCGUCUCACCUCCUUUGCUCUCUCUCUCUCUCUCGAGAUGGGAAGCCCGAUUUAGGGUUUCGUUCGAUUUGACCAUCGCCACAACGCUCUAGACUCUUCCUGUUUUAAAAAAGACAGUUUCUUUUUAGAGAAUUAUUAUGCCGAAAGAGAGGAAAGACCGAUCUGUAUCUCAUGAAAGGUUAAGAGCAUCAUCAUCGCCUUUGUAUUGCGAGUCAAGCCGUGCUUUGAAGAAGCCGAGCGAGAAGCAAGUCAAGGAAUGGGAAGAAGCUCGAUGUCCCGUCUGUAUGGAACAUCCUCACAACGGCAUCCUUCUCAUUUGCUCUUCCUUUGACAAAGGUUGUCGUCCUUACAUGUGUGACACUAGCCACCGUCAUUCCAACUGUUUCGAUCAGUACCGUAAAGCUUCCAAACAGACGACACCAGCUGAGACUGAAGGUGGUGGUGGUGUAGCUUCAGGCUCCAACACUGUAGAUUUAAGAGAAGAGGCUGCAUCUGAUGAGGUAACAGACCAAGAAAAAACCAAACCGAAGCUUACUUGUCCGUUAUGCCGUGGACAUAUAAAAGAAUGGGUGGCUGUUGAAGAUGCUCGAGGUUUCAUGAACGCGAAGCUUAGGAGCUGUUCUUCUGAGAGUUGUGAGUUCAAUGGAACUUACUCUGAUCUGAGAAAGCACGCGAGGCUCCAGCAUCCAGGGGUAAGGCCAUCAGAAGCUGAUCCAGAGAGGCAGAGAAGCUGGAGGAGGCUAGAGAGGCAGAGGGAUUUAGGGGACUUGCUUAGCACACUACAGUCUUCUUUCGGAGGAGCAAUGAUGAUGGUAUUCUAUCGUUUGAUGAUGGUGGUUGGCUUACGGUGUUCUUCCUCAUCCGUGUGUUUAGACCAGAAUCGAGUGGUGGAGGAUCAAGGAGUAGUAGUAGCUGGUCUGGUACGUCUAGAGCUAGGUCCCAUAUAGGUGUGAGAAGAAGAUCUUCAAGGCUUUGGGGAGAGAGCUAUGAAGGUGAUACGGGAACGUCAUCUAGAGAUAGAGAUGAAGAGAACAACAAUCAGUCUUCUGAUGAACAAGAGUCUAGACGUCGUGUCAGAAGAAGAGCUUUCAUCGCUGAUGAUGUUGAUGAUGAUGAUGAAGAACCUUGAUGGCUCUUUUGGUGUUUAUGCAAAGAAAAUGGUGGAAACUUUGUAGUAAUAAUGAAACCUAUUCUGUAAAAUUUUGUUGAAGAUUGAGAAAAAAGUUUCUUUUUUUUUCUAA